CAAACAAUUCAUACACCUUCACAACCCAGUUCUUCAUCUUUUCUUCAUCAAGUCACAUUUUCAGGGUGAAACCUGAAAUAGGAUCACAGUUUUUGCAGUGUGACAUCUCAGUUCCCAGUGUUCCCAUCGUUAAGAUCAACUGAGCUAAGUUUUACUGCAUUCAUUAUUUAGCAUUAAAGGACAGUAUUAGAAUUUAAG